rnacentral:rRNA from 1 species
AUGGCAAAAUUCUUUUGGAGCAGCUCCAUUGACAAAAAUGCAUUACAUUGGGUGUCUUGGAAGAAUUUGGCUACACCAAAGUGCCAAGGUGGUAUGGGGUUUCGUGAUCCCCAUUAGUUUAAUCUUGCGCUACUCGGGAAGCAUGGUUGACGUUUUAUGACGAACCCUAAUUCUCCUUGCGCAAGGGUAAUGAAAGGCCGCUACUUUCCUGACACAGACUUCUUGCAUGCUUCUGUUCCCAAAUCAGUGUAUGCUACUUGGCGAGCUAUCAUUGCUGGCAGGAAAGCUUUACAAGCGGGCCUUGUCAAAAGAGUGGGAGACGGGAGCUCCAUUGAUGCGUGGACUGAGAAGUGGAUUCCCGGAACUAUCUCCAUGAAACCUUUGUUUAAACCUCCAAACACUAAUGUUCAGACAGUUUCGGACCUGAUUGACACCGCAAACUGGUCCUGGAGGCAGGAUCUAAUAAGGACAACCUUCAUCGCCCCAGAUGCUGAUGCUAUUCUCAAUAUCCCAAUCAGGAGGGGGGAGGACAGGAUUUUUAUGCUUGGGCCUUUGAACGAUCAGGCAACUACACUGUUAAAUCGGUGUACCGUGCUCUAG